rnacentral:lncRNA from 10 species
UCCAGGGGGCGAGGCAGCAAGUUCGGCCACCACUGGCCGGUCUGAAGGGCACAGAAGGUGAAGUGGGGCUUAGCGCCGGCCCAGCCACUGAUCAAAUGCCCUGCUCCGGCCCACAACGAUCGAUGGGAGACCACCGCGCCUCUGAUGGGCAGAAGAGGAUCCUGCCUCCUAUCAGAGCCUCCUUCCCCGACAAUCAGGCUGCUGUUGCGGCUAAAAUUCCUCGCCCUUCUUCACCGAAUGGAAGGAGGUGAAGCCCAGGCUGGAAUUCCCUGUCCCCGAGAAUGGGAUUGGGAGAGGUGCCCUUGAAUGCUCCCACCGCUGCGAGUCAUUCUUCCGAGGACCGUGUCCCCUCCAUCCGGUGCUGCCCCCACUCACAUUCCACGCCCACAGUGACGGUCCGGGAGUCCGUGCCAUGCGCAUUGGUGGCCACACAGUGUUUUGGUGAUGGAAGACAGCCACCAGGAAACCCUGCCGAAAGAAUGGGUCAGAUCAAUAAUCUGAGCGGUCCCAGUCCUCCUCCAAUGGCUGAUGGAUGAGGAAGUCAAAUCUGCUGCUUCAAGGAUCAAAGUCUAUGUCCACUGAGGGUGUUUGGAGAAUGUGUUGCAAUCUCUGAAGGCAAUCCCAAGAGAGGCAUUCCAGAGAGGUUUUCAGCCAGGGGUGGCCCAGCAGGAAGUCACUCUGAAAACUCAGGUUUACACAACAUCUACUUGUACAAUCAAGCACACACUCUCAGGCUGCAUGAAGUACUGUCGCAGACAGGACUGCAAACCCUCUCAGGGCCCUGGGGUUCCCCUAAACCAGACCGUGAGCCUCUUGAGACGGCGGAUCCCCAACAGUGCCCAGAACCUGGGAAGGAGCUCAUCGUUCUCAAUGCAAUUAUCAAAAAUGACACUGAGAAGUUAUCUUUAUCCUCCUUGAUUCAAAAAUACAAUUUAUUUUAAAAACAAAAAGAGGGAAUGGAUGCAGAAGCCCGUCUGGGCUUUCCGUGGAGUCGCCCCUUCCCAAUGGCGAUGGCCGCUCCCUGUGGCCUCAGCUUCCUCCGUGGAAUGAAGGGGUCCAGGUGACACCUUCCUCGAAGGGUGGGCGUGGGCCUGAGGCUCCCAAGUCGGCCAGGGGCUCGGCCUGGCUCAGAAGAGGUGCUUCACAUCAACAGUGGUACGGGGUGGCCGCUGGGCCCUGGGUAGCGUGGGGUAGGGGUCGGGGGAAGUCGCUGUAGGGCAGGCUGAAGGGGUAGAGGGGUCUGUAACGUGAGUCCUGCCAGAGCAGCUUGUCCUCCAGGAAGGCGACGGUGGGCAGCGUCAGGACCAGCGUCUGGUGCUUGAGCAUGCUGUGCACAU